ACAAAAACAAAACAAAACAAAACAAAACAGUAUCUCAUGUUUCUUAUUGGCUGUGACCAAGUAACUUCAUUGCUUUCAACCUUGGAUCUGCUCACCUGUAGAACUGAGACAUUAUUUGUUGUGAGAUUUAAAAAAGAAACAUGUUCAUUUCCUUCCUUUGGGGCUCGGAAGGAAUCAGAUGGGCGUCUUGCAGCUCCGAUCCUGAUGAAGAAUUGUAGCUGCUGUGCCUCAAGACAGAUAAGCACAGGUCGUCCCAGAGGGGAUGCCACCUUGGGGACUGUGAACCUCCGCUGAGGCCAGGCCAUGCCCUGCCCUGUGUCUGUAUCUGGAACUGCGGGAUUUCUCUGAUCUGCCAGGGAAAGGCCUGCCACCUCGUGGCCACUUCAGGAACUGCUCCAAAGGCAGUCUGCUCUUGGGAACCUACCUGGUCAGGUAGCUCCUUGAGGUCUGGAACUGCACCACAGUGCAAGUUAUCUUCACGUGGAGGUGAAGCUGCCUGUAUGGAAGACUCUUGGAUCAGUCGUCUGAGCACAUGUCCAGCAAUGGGCAUGGGUGGGCUAGCCAGGGACUGGGGGUGCCGGAAGAGCCGACUGUACAGCACGUGGUGCCCCUAACAAGGAUUGAGUGGUGUUUUUAAAAAGAAAAAAAGGUCGUGCAGAUGGUCUGACAGUCUGUCGACCGUGGGCGCGGUGCUCAUAGCAGCUGAGCACUGCCGGGGUACCAGGCUGUGUGCUGGGUGCUUCAAAGAUGUCCUCUUGUGGAUCAGCCCAUCUGUGGCGAGGAGGGGACCGGGCUCAGCCAGGUUAGGUGACUUGCACAAGGUCAUGUGGGUGAAAGGAAGGCAGAACUCUUGUGUAUUUCUCCUGACCCCAGAUUCUGCGUCAAGGCUGAAGCCAGAACCCACACGUGUCCAGCGCAGGGUGAUUGCUGCCAUGAGCUGCAUUGCUGUGAUCCUCUGGCGAGGGCGUGGAUUUUCAUCCUUUUAUUCAAUUUUGAAAGAAGCAAAUUUAGAAAGAUACGAUAUGAUGGGUGUGGCAGACAGAAUUCUAAAGGUGGGCCCACUGAUUCGUACCCCUGGCUGUUCAGUUAAACACUAGCCUAGGUGCUGCUGUGCAGGGACUUUGACGAAGGAAUGAAAGUCCCAAGCCAUCUGACCUUGAGAUCAGAGAUUAUCUGGUGGGCUUGACCUCAUGAGCCUAAUGAAAGCAGGGAGCUUUUCCAGCUGUCAGCAGAAAAGAAGGUCAAAUUCAAUGUGUGAGAAAGGCUGGAAUUAACAUUGCUGGUUUGAAGGAGGAAGGGGUUGUGUGAGAAGGUGUGUGAGUGACUUAUAGGAGCAGAGAGUGGCCCCCAGCCAUGGAAUGAGGACCCCAGGUCUGCAGGCACCAGGAGCUGGACUUUCAGGGCCACCUGAAUGCACCCAGAAGCGGAUUCUCCUCCAGAGCCUCCAGUUGCUAUAAUCAACAUCCCUGGACCCAUCGCGCAGAAGAAACUAAGGUUCCCAGGUUAAGAGACUUGCCUGGAAAAGGGUUAACUGACAGCUUGGCAGCAGAGCCACCGCUCCUUCCCCCUUGCAUGCUGGUUCCAAACCGAAAAUGAUGUUCUGGGCCUUGCACAGAGGAGUGCUUGGUGAACAUUUGGUGGAGGAUACGGAAACCCACGUGGAUUCCAGGUGCUGACUUUUGUGCCACUACAGAGUCUAGCGUACAUUAGGAAGACGAUGCCAACCACCACCAUCUAUUGACUUACUCAACGUUUACUGCACACCUACUGUGUGCAGGGGUCCUGGGGACCCCAUAGAUGAAAACAUAAGCACAUGAUCAAAUGGAAAGCUGGGCUUCGUCUAUUACAGUGGGUACCAUACAGUUUUACACUCGUGUACCUAAAACAACCUGGACAAGGCACGGGAUUGAUUUUCAAUUUUGUAAAACAGAGCAAAAGUGCUUUUACUGAUGUUUCUUUUCUUUUUCCUGAGAUCUUAUGUCCCUAGACAGAACUAUAAAGCGUUUUUAUAUUAAAGGUCUGUGCCUCAGACUUUAAAAAUAUCUGUAGAAUGUGUAGUAAAGUUAUCCAUUUCAUUUGUGAUAAUGGUCAUUUUUAUUUUCUCUUUUGUUCCUGAUCAAUCUAACUAUAAUUUAUAAAUUUAACAAUUUUCUCAAGAACGUUCUGUUUCAUUGAUGUUCUCUAUUAUUUUCUGUUCUCUGUUUCAUUGAUUUCAACUCUGAUUUUUAUUAUUUCUUUUCUUCUUUUUAUUUUAGGUUUCAUUUGGUCUUUUCUAGUUAAGGUGGAAGCUGAGGUCAAUAAUUUUCCUUUCUUCUUUUCCUUAAAAAAUUGUUGGCCAGGUGCGGUGGCUUAUGCCUGUAAUCCCAGCAC
rnacentral:lncRNA from 1 species